rnacentral:rRNA from 1 species
GAUGAACGCUGGCGGCGUGCCUAAUACAUGCAAGUAGAACGCUGAAGGAAGGAGCUUGCUCUUUCCGGAUGAGUUGCGAACGGGUGAGUAACGCGUAGGUAACCUGCCUGGUAGCGGGGGAUAACUAUUGGAAACGAUAGCUAAUACCGCAUAACAGUAGAUGUUGCAUGAUAUCUACUUAAAAGGUGCAAUUGCACCACUACCAGAUGGGCCUGCGUUGUAUUAGCUAGUUGGUGAGGUAACGGCUCACCAAGGCGACGAUACAUAGCCGACCUGAGAGGGUGAUCGGCCACACUGGGACUGAGACACGGCCCAGUCUCCUACGGGAGGCAGCAGUAGGGAAUCUUCGGCAAUGGACGGAAGUCUGACCGAGCAACGCCGCGUGAGUGAAGAAGGUUUUCGGAUCGUAAAGCUCUGUUGUAAGAGAAGAACGAGUGUGAGAGUGGAAAGUUCACACUGUGACGGUAUCUUACCAGAAAGGGACGGCUAACUACGUG